rnacentral:rRNA from 1 species
GAUGAACGCUGGCGGCGUGCCUAAUACAUGCAAGUCGAGCGAACAGACGAGGAGCUUGCUCCUCUGACGUUAGCGGCGGACGGGUGAGUAACACGUGGAUAACCUACCUAUAAGACUGGGAUAACUUCGGGAAACCGGAGCUAAUACCGGAUAAUAUAUUGAACCGCAUGGUUCAAUAGUGAAAGACGGUUUUGCUGUCACUUAUAGAUGGAUCCUCGCCGCAUUAGCUAGUUGGUAAGGUAACGGCUUACCAAGGCAACGAUGCGUAGCCGACCUGAGAGGGUGAUCAGCCACACUGGAACUGAGACACGGUCCAGACUCCUACGGGAGGCAGCAGUAGGGAAUCUUCCGCAAUGGGCGAAAGCCUGACGGAGCAACGCCGCGUGAGUGAUGAAGGUCUUCGGAUCGUAAAACUCUGUUAUUAGGGAAGAACAAAUGUGUAAGUAACUAUGCACGUCUUGACGGUACCUAAUCAGAAAGCCACGGCUAACUACGUG